AAACUUCGAUAGAAUAUUACAACCUCUAUCCGCCCGGGAACUACGAGCGCUAGCUUAAAACCCAAAGGACUUGGCGGUGCUUCAGACCCCCCUAGAGGAGCCUGUCCUAGAACCGAUGACCCCCGUUUAACCUCACCACUUCUUGUUUUUUCCGCCUAUAUACCGCCGUCGCCAGCCUACCCUCUAAGGGACUUAAAGUAGGCAAAACAAGCACUCCUUAAAACGUCAGGUCGAGGUGUAGCGAAUGAAGUGGGAAGAGAUGGGCUACAUUCUCUAAUAUUAGAGAACCACGAAAGAGAUUUUGAAACAAACCCCCGAAGGCGGAUUUAGCAGUAAGCACGAAAGUAGUGAGUCCG
rnacentral:rRNA from 1 species